rnacentral:tRNA from 1 species
AAGAAGUUAAUUUAAUAAAAAAUAUUUAAUUGUCAAAUAAAAAAUACAAUAAUUAUUGUACUUCUUG